CGCAAACCCUAAUUGCGUGGAAACCUCUAUUUAAAGGACAAUCCGCCGUUUUCUUCAAUCUCGCAGUCUCUGAAAAGUGAGAUAUAACGAAUGCAGAAAGCGACAAGGUUGGCUUACCAGCCCAUUGCGCUUCUCUUCUGUUGCCUUGGCGUCAAAUGGACCUACCGAUACUAAAAAAAAUCCCCCUAUUUUCUAUUUUGUUAUUGCUUGUUUUUGUAUUAUGCAUUCAAUAGAAUCAUUAUUUCAUAAUUUUGUUUUAUAUUUUUGAAGGAAAUGGCAAAUGAUGAAUGUUUUCUUAUCCUACACACUGAAUAAUCGUGUUGAUUACUAUACUCCGCUUAUUGUCUGAUGCCAAUUCUUUCUCUUGUUUUGGUUGAAUUUUAUGUUUUUAUUUUCUUUUUUCUUUUUCUUUUUUUGGGUGUGUUCUGCAUAAUCAAUCGACUCUUAUGAUUUUGAUGCUUUUAUAGUUUUCUACACUUUUUGUUUGUUGUAUUCAUUCAGUGAUGAGAAAAAGCAGACGGGCGGUCUGAAUCUGAUGCCGUGUUGAUUGUCUGCAUAUUUCCAUUUAUUUAUUUGGAAUGUCUCUGAGAUCAACAUUUUGUGUGAAUUUUGAUGUUUUUGUCUUCGAAAAUUAUGAAAACGAUUUUUAAAUUCUCUGAUCAUUGUUUCUGUUUAUUUGUUGGAAAUUGAGUUCUUGAUCUUGGUACUAAUUUGCUUUGCUAUGAUGAAAUAGCUAAAAUUAUGUCUGACACUAGUUCGCCUGUAAAUACCGAGACCAAAGCAACAAAACCUUCAAUCUGUCUCAACGGUGAUCGAUCUACAGUCGCCGAAACAUUCGGAGAAAACGGAAAGGGAGCUAUUGAGCUCUCGGAAUCUUGCGGGAUGGGCGAGACGGUAAGAGAGAGAGAGAGAGGGGUCUCUCGAAGAUCGAUCGAUCGAUUCUCUUUCUGACUCCGCCCAUGCCAUUGGAUUCCGAUUGCUCCUCCCUCUCCUCCUCUCUCCUUUCACAAUCAUACCCACCUCCAGAUCAUUUUGUUUCUGUUUGUUUGUUGGAAAUUGCUUUGCUAUGAUGAAGUUGCUAAAAUUAUGUCUGGACAUAUGAAUUGUCUAUGAUUUGUUAUAUGCUUCUCCUGAGCAGAAUGGGUUUGAUUACUAUUGUGAAAAUAUUUGUUUGGAUUUUUAAUUUGGGACAAUUACACUGCAGUGGAGUUUGUAAAAAUAAAUUAUAAAUUAAUAAAAAAAGGUUUAUAAUUUUAAUUA